rnacentral:rRNA from 1 species
AAACCCCUUUUCUCAGGGAAGAAGAAAGUGACGGUACCUGAGGAAUCAGCCUCGGCUAACUCCGUGCCAGCAGCCGCGGUAAUACGGAGGAGGCAAGCGUUAUCCGGAAUGAUUGGGCGUAAAGCGUUCGUAGGUGGCAAUUCAAGUCUGCUGUCAAAGACAGUAGCUCAACUACUGCAAGGCAGUGGAAACUGAAUAGCUAGAGUGCGGUAGGGGCAGAGGGAAUUCCCGGUGUAGCGGUGAAAUGCGUAGAGAUCGGGAAGAACACCGGUGGCGAAAGCGCUCUGCUGGGCCGCAACUGACACUGAGGGACGAAAGCUAGGGGAGCGAAUGGGAUUAGAUACCCCAGUAGUC